rnacentral:rRNA from 1 species
UACGUAGGGUGCGAGCGUUAAUCGGAAUUACUGGGCGUAAAGCGUGCGCAGGCGGUUCGUUGUGUCGGUGGUGAAAUCCCCGGGCUCAACCUGGGAAUGGCGAUGAAGACUGCAAGGCUAGAAUCUGGCAGAGGGGGGUAGAAUUCCACGUGUAGCAGUGAAAUGCGUAGAGAUGUGGAGGAACACCGAUGGCGAAGGCA